UGAGUUAAAGGGUGUUGUCCAUUUUGGAUGUAAAGACCACAACGCUCUCCUUGCAACAUCAGCAACAACACAUGCACGACUGCCACAUUCAGAUGUGGACGAGCAGGAGGACGGCUCCAAAGCACAACAAGACACAAACAAGACCUCGUCUGCAAUUACAGCCUCUGCCUUUUUAUUUUUAACACGCUGUGGGGGUGUGCAGUAGACCACGGUGAACUCCUCCCACCGGGCUUGAAAUGCUGUAUAAAUGCAGCAUCUUUGUAUCAGCGCCAGAGUCUGAACCCC